rnacentral:rRNA from 1 species
CAGUCGCCGCGGGAAUACGUAGGUGGCAAGCGUUGUCCGGAAUUAUUGGGCGUAAAGGGCUCGCAGGCGGUUUCUUAAGUCUGAUGUGAAAGCCCCCGGCCCAACCGGGGAGGGUCAUUGGAAACUGGGAAACUUGAGUGCAGAAGAGGAGAGUGGAAUUCCACGUGUAGCGGUGAAAUGCGUAGAGAUGUGGAGGAACACCAGUGGCGAAGGCGACUCUCUGGUCUGUAACUGACGCUGAGGAGCGAAAGCGUGGGGAGCGAACAGGAUUAGAUACCCCUGUAGUCCCUGUCUCUUAUAA